GACGAAGGGGGCUAGCGUUGUUCGGAAUUACUGGGCGUAAAGCGCGUGUAGGCGGUUGUUCAAGUCAGGUGUGAAAACCUUGAGCUCAACUCAAGAAAUGCACUUGAUACUGGAUGACUAGAGGACCGGAGAGGAUAGUGGAAUUCCCAGUGUAGUGGUGAAAUACGUAGAGAUUGGGAAGAACACCAGUGGCGAAGGCGGCUAUCUGGACGGUUUCUGACGCUAAGGCGCGAAAGCGUGGGGAGCAAACAGG
rnacentral:rRNA from 1 species